rnacentral:rRNA from 1 species
CGUAACAAGGUCUCCGUUGGUGAACCAGCGGAGGGAUCAUUACUGAGUUACCGCUCUAUAACCCUUUGUGAACAUACCUACAACUGUUGCUUCGGCGGGUAGGCCGUCCCCUGAAAAGGACGCCUCCCGGCCCGGACCGGACCCCCCGCGGGACCGGACCCGGCGCCCGCCGGAGGAUAACCAAACUCUAUUGUAACGACGUUUCUUCUGAGUGGCAUAAGCAAAAUAAUCAAAACUUUUAACAACGGAUCUCUUGGUUCUGGCAUCGAUGAAGAACGCAGCGAAAUGCGAUAAGUAAUGUGAAUUGCAGAAUUCAGUGAAUCAUCGAAUCUUUGAACGCACAUUGCGCCCGCCAGCAUUCUGGCGGGCAUGCCUGUUCGAGCGUCAUUUCAACCCUCAAGCUCUGCUUGGUGUUGGGGCUCUACGGUCGACGUAGGCCCUCAAAGGUAGUGGCGGACCCUCCCGGAGCCUCCUUUGCGUAGUAACAUUUCGUCUCGCACUGGGAUCCGGAGGGACUCUUGCCGUAAAACCCCCCAAUUUCCAAAGGUGACCUCGAUC